rnacentral:rRNA from 1 species
UACGGGGGGGGCAAGCGUUGUUCGGAAUUACUGGGCGUAAAGGGCUCGUAGGCGGCCCACUAAGUCGGACGUGAAAUCCCUCGGCUUAACCGGGGAACUGCGUCCGAUACUGGAUGGCUUGAGAUUGGGAGAGGGAUGCGGAAUUCCAGGUGUAGCGGUGAAAUGCGUAGAUAUCUGGAGGAACACCGGUGGCGAAGGCGGCAUCCUGGACCAACACUGACGCUGAUGAGCGAAAGCCAGGGGAGCAAACGGG